rnacentral:sRNA from 1 species
GCUGGGCGCUCGCGAGGACCGCCGUUGUGAGCAGUUCGACUUUCCGCCCAAACUGGGGGAUGCUAGACCGCGGGCACCUCUGAAUCUUAUGCCUUCAGUGAUAUCAUAAUCCUCCGUGUCGUUCGCGUCCCUCCUGCUGCAGACACGUCCCCUAUACUUCGGUACACACGAGCCUUUCGCGCCCACUGCGAUGCAGCCUCGGGAGGCAGGACAGACCCCUGCGAGUGUAGAUUGCAGCUGCAUCCCAGCUCCCGUCUCCCUGGCACGCUCCUCCACCUACAGCUGCGCUGAGCUGCCGCAUCUGAACGCAAAGCAAACGCUGCAGUGACGGUUCCUGCGUCACCUUAACAUCCAAAGUAAAUGCUAAGGUUUCCCGUGUCUGUACCAUCUCUCGAUCGGCACUCUGAAAACAUUUGGCACGGUGUUUACUACCCUAAUAAGACCUCAGCUGCCCUCGGGCGGGGCGUGCCGCCGCCAGACUGAUUACUGGCAGUUCGUGAAAGACAUCCGGUGGCUCAGUCCCCACUCAGCCUUCACGUGAGAAGUUCAUCAGCUUGCACGAGAACGGCCAGAGCAGUGCUGAUGGUGUGAGUGAACAUGCUGUUGCCGAGUUGUGGCUGCAGCACAGCCUGCAGUACCACUGCCUCUCAGCCCAGCUCCGGCCCCUGCUCGGGGAUAGAGAGUAUAUCAGAAAAUUCUACACAGAUGCUGCCUCCUGCUAAGUGACGCUCACGUCACGGCCAUGCUGCAGUGCCUGGAAGCAGUGGAACAGAACAACCCCCGCCUCCUGGCUCAGAUCGACGCGUCCAUGUUUGCCAGAAAACACGAGAGCCCACUCCUGGUGACAAAGAGCCAGAGCCUGACAGCCCUGCCCAGUUCCACAUACACCCCUCCAACCAGCUAUGCUCAGCAUUCCUACUUUGGGUCCUUCUCUAGCCUC